ensembl:snRNA U6 U6 spliceosomal RNA
AUGCUUGCUUUGGCAGCGUAUAUACUAAAAUUGGAACAACACAGAGAAUAUUUGCAUGGCUCCUGCACAAGAAUGACACACAAGUUUGUGAGGUGUUCCAUAUUUUA